rnacentral:rRNA from 1 species
UACGGAAGGCAGCAGUGGGGAAUAUUGCACAAUGGGCGAAAGCCUGAUGCAGCGUAUGCCGCGUGUAUGAAGAAGGCCUUAGGGUUGUAAAGUACUUUCAUCGGGGAGGAAAAAACAAAACUAAUAAUUUUAUUUCUUGACGUUACCCGAAAAAGAAGCACCGGCUAACUCCGUGCCAGCAGCCGCGGUAAUACGGAGGGUGCUAGCGUUAAUCAGAAUUACUGGGCGUAAAGAGCACGUAGGUGGUUUUUUAAGUCAGAUGUGAAAUCCCUGGGCUUAACCUAGGAACUGCAUUUUGAAACUGAAAUACUAGAGUAUCGUAGAGGGAGGUAGAAUUCUAGGUGUAGCGGUGAAAUGCGUAGAUAUCUGGAGGAAUACCUGUGGCGAAAGCGGCCUCCUAAACGAAUACUGACACUGAGGUGCGAAAGCGUGGGGAGCAAACAGGGAUUAGAUACC